rnacentral:tRNA from 1 species
GGAGAUGUACUCAAGUGGCUGAAGAGGUGCCCCUGCUAAGGGUAUAGGCCGUUAACGCGGUGCGAGGGUUCAAAUCCCUCCAUCUCCG